rnacentral:misc_RNA from 1 species
GAUGAAGAACGUAGCGAAAUGCGAUAAGUAAUGUGAAUUGCAGAAUUCAGUGAAUCAUCGAAUCUUUGAACGCAUAUUGCGCUCUCUGGUAUUCCGGAGAGCAUGCUUGUUUGAGUAUCAGUAAACACCUCAACUCUUUUUUCUUUUUUGAAAUUGGAGCUGGACUUGAGUGAUCCCAACGCUUUCUUCCAAGAAAGUGGCGGGUUGCUUGAAAUGCAGGUGCAGCUGAACUUUUCUCUGAGCUAUAAGCAUAUCUAUUUAGUCUGCCUAAAAAACAGAUUAUUACCUUUGCUGCAGCUAACAUAAAGGAGACUAGUUCUUGUGCUGACUGAUGCAGGAUUCACAGAGACAGCUUCGGCUGACUUUGUAAACUCGAUCUCAAAUCAAGUAAGACUACCCGCUGAACUUAAGCAUAUCAAUAAGCGGAGGA